GGCCCUUUAGCUCAGUGGUUAGAGCAGGCGACUCAUAAUCGCUUGGUCGUUGGUUCAAACCCAACAGGGACUACCA
rnacentral:tRNA from 1 species